rnacentral:rRNA from 1 species
UACAGAGGGUGCGAGCGUUAAUCGGAAUUACUGGGCGUAAAGCGCGCGUAGGCGGCUUUGCAAGUCGGGUGUGAAAUCCCCAGGCUUAACCUGGGAACUGCAUUCGAGACUGCAUUGCUAGAGUAUGGGAGAGGGAAGUGGAAUUUCCGGUGUAGCGGUGAAAUGCGUAGAUAUCGGAAGGAACAUCAGUGGCGAAAACGACUUCCUGGACCAAUACUGACGCUCAUGUGCGAAAGCGUGGGGAGCAAACAGG